CAAAGGGAAGUGUAAAAAGGAAAUGGACAGUGAGAUGAGUGACCAGGAAGUGAAGAAGAAGAAAACAGGGAAAGGGAAAAGAACCAAGCAAACGCUAGUGAGACCAGUGAGCAUUGAGCAGGAAGAGAACCAACAAGAAGGGGCAGGAGUACACUGACGCGCACGACCAAGACCACAGCAUUCCAUUUCUAUUCCAUCCAUCCAUCCAUCUUCUUCCGCUUAUCCGAGG